rnacentral:misc_RNA from 1 species
CGACCCUCAAGUCUAGUUACUUGGUGUUGGGGCUUGCCGCCGCGCAGGCCCUCAAACUCAUUGGCAGGGCCGGUCGGCAGUCUGAGCGUAGUAAAUCAACCUCGCUUCUGAAGGCCUCCGGUCCCUCGCCGUAAAACCUUUAUACCAAA